rnacentral:rRNA from 1 species
GGCCGCGGGAAUUCGAUUCAGGCCUAACACAUGCAAGUCGAGCGAACCCUUCGGGGUGAGCGGCGGACGGGUGAGUAACGCGUGGGUAACCUGCCCUGUACACACGGAUAACAUACCGAAAGGUAUGCUAAUACGAGAUAAUAUGUAAUGAUCGCAUGGUCGAUACAUCAAAGCUCCGGCGGUACAGGAUGGACCCGCGUCUGAUUAGCUAGUUGGUGAGGUAAUGGCUCACCAAGGCGACGAUCAGUAGCCGACCUGAGAGGGUGAUCGGCCACAUUGGAACUGAGACACGGUCCAAACUCCUACGGGAGGCAGCAGUGGGGAAUAUUGCACAAGGGGCGAAAGCCUGAUGCAGCAACGCCGCGGAGCUGAAAAGGGCCUUCGGGUCGUAAAGCUCUGUCCUCAAGGAAGAUAAUGAC